rnacentral:rRNA from 1 species
GAGGAAUAUUGGUCAAUGGACGAGAGUCUGAACCAGCCAAGUAGCGUGAAGGAUGACUGCCCUAUGGGUUGUAAACUUCUUUUAUAUGGGAAUAAAGUGAGCCACGUGUGGCUUUUUGUAUGUACCAUACGAAUAAGGAUCGGCUAACUCCGUGCCAGCAGCCGCGGUAAUACGGAGGAUCCGAGCGUUAUCCGGAUUUAUUGGGUUUAAAGGGAGCGUAGGCGGACUAUUAAGUCAGCUGUGAAAGUUUGCGGCUCAACCGUAAAAUUGCAGUUGAUACUGGUCGUCUUGAGUGCAGUAGAGGUAGGCGGAAUUCGUGGUGUAGCGGUGAAAUGCUUAGAUAUCACGAAGAACUCCGAUUGCGAAGGCAGCUUACUGGACUGUAACUGACGCUGAUGCUCGAAAGUGUGGGGAUCAAAC